rnacentral:miRNA from 1 species
ACAGUCACUGGGAUUGACAGA